GGAGGAGGAGGAGAAGGAGGAGGAGGAGGAGGAGGAGGAGGAGAGGAAGGAGAAGGAGAGGAAGAAGAAGGAGAGGAAGAAGAAGGAGAAGAGGAAGAGUUUAACAUUCCCUGACUCUGGUUCUGGAGCCUGAGAAGUCCAAGAUCAAGGUGCUGGAAGAUUCAGCAUCUGGCACUUUCCAAACUCUGAUGCAAGGAGGAUAAAUCCAAGCAGAAGACACAGGAUUCUUUGAAUUCAGGAGAAAGAUCAGAGUUUAAGGAGACGGCGACAAAUGGAAAAGGUAUGUAUCUAUAUAUAUCUAAGAUUUUUGC